UCUUCAUUUUUAUUCCGCUACGUGACUCUACGAUACCGGUUGUACCAACACGAGACUGAUAAUUGGGCGGCGGCAAAGAAACCUUCGGGAGGGUUUGAGAGGAGGAAGAGGGAUAGAGGAAGGUUCUUCGAUUCGUAGUCGCGCUGACGAAUCAGAGAGCUGGGUUUCGAAUAAGAGCUUUGUGCUGUCGGAGCGGUGAUUCGCCUCCAACGGUGGAGGGUUUGAGAGAGAGAGAUGAAGGUUAUUGGGUUUGGCUCCAGCGGGCCUACCUGUUGGCAUUAGCAUCUUCAUCGUCUUCGUAGAGUGCUUCUGAAGCUGAAAGAUGGGGGUACUAUUUCUUUUCUUCUUCUCAUAGACUUGUUAGUUUCAGUGUUUACAUUGUUUUUCUUUGCUUUGCUUCAAAUUCAAUCCCAAGUUUCAGCUUCUCUAACACGCUUCUCCAAAUUCGGUUUUGGGCCAUUGAGGCCACUGCCUUUGAGCCCUCAACCUCUGAUGGGCUCGCAGUCCAAUAAAUUCUGGCCAAUAAUUGGAACAUUCUGGACGAAAACGAAGGCGAUUGGAAGAGUCAUGCCACCGCCAUAGCUCAAUCUAUUGAUUUGAUCAAACGUCGCUUGUAGAACAUGAUCGUGUGUGUUGUGGUGGCAGUGGGGAAAAUUGAAGGUGAGGUUGGAUAUGUUAUCAUUCCAGCUGGGUAAGGAGGACCUUUGGGAUAAUCCGGUGCGCGCAGGUAAAAUAAGCCGAGAGCAUGGUUCGCUCCUAGGGAAAAUGAAAGAAGUGAAUGCAUUGGAACAAGAAUUACUUGAGCAUAUUUACAUGAUAACGCUUGCCCACGAAUAGAAUGAUGCGAAUUUGGAAUUGGUGGGGACUCACUUCAUCUUAUCCUAGGCAUGUAUUCGCCUUUUUUUUUGUAAAAGUCUUACAUACAAAAGACUGUGAUGCUCAAUAAUCCGACCUGUGUUCCUUUGAUUUGGUGUGCAAAGUAGAGUGGUGAUGAGGAGAAUACAAUGAAUAAAAAUUCAUAUAUAAUCUUGUUGGGGUUUCUGAUGUUGUUGCAGCUCAUUCCUUGCUUCAAUUACUCAUUGGCAUAUCCAGAUUUCUUAGGACUUCUUCUGUGAUACCUUCCAGAAAUCAUGCAUGGCUUAUUUUUGCUGGGGAUCAGGUAUUUGCAUAUGCAUUGAUGAGUGCUGGAUCUGCUGCAUCUAGGGUUUAAUAAUCAGCACCUGGGUCAGGUUGCUUAUCAGCUUAUCAUUGUCUGCAAACUGAAAAAUGGUAUUGAUAUUGAUAUGGGUGCUUAAGGCUUUCAACUAUAGCAGACCUUGAGGCCUUCUGAGCUUGGAGACCUCAAACACUCACCAUUCCUUCAGUGGACAUUCACAAACACCUGGCAUGCGUCAUUCCAUUCCAUUGCCUUCUUCUGUGACGUGGAGCUGUUCUUGCAUGGAGUUGGGACUUGCUUCCAUAAUUUGGUAGUCAGAGCUAGCACCUCCACGUGUGUCUACAAGAGCUAAGCCACUCUUCCAUUUAGUUUCUUCAUUUCCGUGUUGUGUUGUCCAUUCUGCCACCGUUUGAAAUUGUUUUCAUUUCUGUUUGGUGUGAUUUCGUGUUUCCUGUUGCUGUGAUUGUGUUUCCAGUAUUCCUACAUGUUUGUUUGACAUUUUAAACGGUGAAGUUCAUUAGUUUUUCAUUUAAUUCAGCCUAAAUCUAAAAAUCCAGUUUGUCCAGUUAUGUGCAUCCUGAUGCAGUGUAGCUUCUGUUUUCAUUUGGUUCGAUAUGUCCCAGCUUCGUUUUUUCGUUUUAAAGUGAGUUCAGAUGCAUGUGUAGCUAUAUAUAAACCAUAUGAGGCAAUGAUACAAUGUUCUAGCCUUGGUGAUACGAGCUAAAGUGUCUGAACUUGAUUCUGUUUUCCAAAAAUAUGCACAAAAUUGUAUUUCUAGUUCCAGGUUCUUUAAUCUGUUUCAGUCAAAAUUUUCUGCUUCUGAAGCAUGAUACAAUUUUGUUUGAUGUUUUUGGACAUGGCUAAAGGUAUGGUAGACCAUUAAAAGCAAGGAAAUGCAUUUAGCAUAGCUUGGUUGCCUUAAAACCAGUAGAACUUGUUGUCCAAUGUUUCUGUCAAGCUUUUUCACCAUGCUUAUUGUCCUUGAAUGUGUAUUCUAUGUUUAAAAUCCUCUAGCUACUUAUUUUCAACUAGAUCUAGUGUAUUAGGCCUUAUUAGAGUCAUUGCAAUUGCUGUCCAGUUUGGAUUCAUUGAAUUCUGAUUUUUGGUGUUGUUUUUGGUGCACAUUGGCUGCAUAAUAGGCUAUAGUAAGAGUGAUUUGUUUAAUCUUGCUGUUUCUGUGCAUUUGCAACGUUGAUGCAGGAUGACUCAGAGAAGGAUGCGGAUGAAACAAAGUUCAAGCAGAUCAUCAGUUCACUACGUUUUCUGUGUAAUAGUAGACCAAAUUUAGCUUUUUGUGUUGGAGUGAUCAGCAGGUUUAUGAGCAAACCAAAAGAAUCUCAUAUGCAGGCUGCAAAGAGGGUGCUACGGUAUAUCAAAGGCACAGUGGACUAUGGAGUGUUAUUUCCUAUUGGAAGAAAGAAAACUGCAGAAGAGAUAACAGGUUACACAAACUCAGAUUAUGGAGGUGAUCCGAUGGAGAGAAAAAGCACUUCAGGUUAUAUCUUCAUGGUGAAUGAUGCUCCCAUUUCUUGGUGCUCUAAAAAGCAACAGGUGGUGGCACUCUCAAGUUGUGAAGCUGAAUAUAUUGCAGGAAGCUUUGCUGCUUGUCAAGCCGUGUGGAUCAAAGAGCUAAUGGAAGAGUUGAAGUUGCCUUCGGUAAAGCCAAUUCAAUUGAAGAUUGAUAACGUUUCAACAAUCAACUUGGUUAAGAAUCCCAUUAGUCAUGGGAGGAGUAAACAUAUAGAAAUUAAAUUUCAUGAAAAUCUUCUUUUGCUGGUCCAACAAAUCUUUCAUGAAAAUGGUUUAAAUUUUCUUUUGUUAUUUGAAAAAAACAAAAACAGGCGUGUUUAUUUGUUGAACAUCGCUAUCUAUCUUAAAUUCCAAAUACUAAUAAUUAAGAUCCUUGUGAUCAUUUUCACUUA